rnacentral:rRNA from 1 species
GACGAACCGUGCGAACGUUGUUCGGAAUCACUGGGCUUAAAGGGCGCGUAGGCGGGCUGCCAAGUCUGGGGUGAAAUCCCACGGCUCAACCGUGGAACUGCCUCGGAUACUGGCGGCCUCGAGGGAGGUAGGGGCGUGCGGAACUGUGGGUGGAGCGGUGAAAUGCGUUGAUAUCCACAGGAACUCCGGUGGCGAAGGCGGCACGCUGGACCUUUUCUGACGCUGAGGCGCGAAAGCCAAGGGAGCAAACGGG